GGCUUCUUUGGUGGUGGUGGAGAGUGGUAGUAGGGCUUAGGGCUGACGUGAUGCACUGGUGGAGGAGGAGAGGAAUAUUUGUAUGGCUUCUUUGGUGGUGGUGGGGAAUGGUAGUAAGGUUUAGGGCUUAACAUGCACUGGUGGUGGAGGAGAAGAAUAUUUGUAUGGUUUCUUUGGGGGUGGUGGAGAAUGGUAGUAAGGUUUAGGGUGGACAUAUGGUGGAGGAGGAGAAGAAUACUUGUAAGGUUUCUUUGGUGGUGGUGGUGGUGAACUGUAAUGGUAGGGAGGAGGAGGUGUAUAAACGGUGGGGGUGGAGAGUGGUAGUAGUAUGGUUUCUUAGGUGGUGAGUACACUGGUGGUGGUGGUGAAGAGUAAUGGUAAGGUGGUUUAACUGGAGGGUACACCCCCGGUGGUGGGGAAUGUGGAGGGUACACCUUAGGUGGUGGUGGAGAACUAUAAUGGUAAGGUGGUGAGACUGGUGGAUACACCUCAGGUGGUGGUGAAUGUGGAGGGUAUUUCUUAGGUGGUGGUGGGGAAGAGUAAUGGUAAGGUGGUUUAACUGGUGGGUACACCUUGGGUGGUGGUGAAUGUGGAGGGUACACCUUAGGAGGUGGUGGUGAAGAGUAAUGGUAAGGUGGUGAAACUGGAGGAUACACCUUAGGUGGUGGUGAAUGAGGAGGAUACUUCUUAGGUGGUGGUGGUGAAGAGUAAUGGUAAGGUGGUGAAACUGGAGGGUACACCUUAGGUGGUGGUGAAUGUGGAGGGUACACCUUAGGUGGUGGUGGUGAAGGGUAGUGGUAAGGUGGGGAAACUGGAGGGUAGACCUUAGAAGGUGGAGGAGGUGAAGAAUACAAGUAGCUGUUUGCUGAAAUUUGAGAU
rnacentral:lncRNA from 1 species